CGAGUAUUUUGUAGCGGUUACCGUAGCGCCGGUACACCGGGCAACCCUAUUUUAAAGAGGAGCGUUCGAUUGAUGCACACAACAGGAAGCAAAGUUGCAGACCGACGUGGAGUGCUUUUAGGCACAGGCGGACGUUUUCUCUUCAGGAACCGUCGUUCUACGUUGAGGACCUCUUUGUGGACUUGUGCUUGACUGACCCCCAGCAGAAAUGAG